rnacentral:tRNA from 1 species
CAUCUUCAAGAAAACCACAAUACUUUACAGUAUUACAGGAUUUGAACCAAUCCCUUAAAACAU